rnacentral:lncRNA from 1 species
CUUGGGAGUCCUGAGUGAGGGGUUCUGGGAGUCUUGGAAAUGGUUCAGAACCUGGAGGCUCUGCCUCAGCUCAGGGUUCAGAAGAAGGGCUGGGCUCUGUCCCCACAGUGCUGGCCACUCAGAGCCCUGUAGGACAACCAGCUGUGGAGCCCUCCUGGGGGUGUGGGGAGGCACAGUCCCUCUCCACAGUUGAUAGUCAGUCUUGUUUGCCUUGAUACAGAUAUACUGGUUAUCAAAACUGUUGAAAUGCUUCAAAACUGGUAGGUGAACUAUCAGUUGCAUGAGUGCACUCGAGGAUACCUAAGACUUUUCCUGUAAUUCCAUAAUUGAAGUAAGCACUGGCCACAGAACAGGUGCCUGGGACCCUGUUGUAGCAUCAGACUGUUCAGUGCCUAUGCCUCCUGGUUGUUAAAUAUUUCUGAUAUUACCCCCCAUUUGAUCCUGAUAAAACAAAACAUUGAAAGCAUUUUUGUGAGCAAGUAAUGAGAAAUUUUGAUUGGGGUUCAGGAGGACAAAACUGAAACCUGCAAUUUUAUCCCUGUUUCCCUGAUUCUAUGAUAUAGGCCUGUUGAUAUCCCAGGCUCUUCUUUACUAUCUAGAAUGAAAGCGGCUAUAACAGUUAGGGUUUCCAAGCAACAAGCAGUGCCCCUGGAAGUGUAAUUUCAAUUCAUGCUUUUAGAGGGCCCAAGUUUGAAUUUUGAAUUUUACAGGAAAACAUCUUCCUUGUCGCGACCCCUCGCCGGCAAGGGAAAACACGACACAGGAUUCUUCUUUCAGCAGUUUAUUCAGGCCUUGAUUCAAGUAUCAUCUUCUAGUGACCCCCCGCCGAGCGCCCAAGCACAGCCUAAUAAAGCCUCCCGCAUACCAAUCCCAAGCUGCCACGUGGACCUUUCUCAUAGGGUGGGAAGGGAUUGCGUGCCAAUUCUCCAUAUUAGGAGUUGUUUAUC